UCUUCGCGGAACAGCUUUAUGAAAAUAGUGGCCCGAAUGUUGCGUGGAACUGUCAAGUGAGCACGUGGGUGGACCAGUGUUUCUAUCUCGGUUCUUCCCCUUCCAUUAGCACUACUAGCACCAUCUGAGUCUCCCGCCAAGGCAGAUUCUUCACACCUAUAGCAGGAAUGUAAAUAUCAACAAGACCUUGUUGAGUGAUGAAUAAUAGCGAUUUUUAAUGGGGUGACUUAUCAUCAUUAUGAAGUGGUAUUACAGAGCACUCACCUGAGGGAUAUUUUGGUGCAUCUUCGGCCGGCUCUAAUUUGAGAGUUGAUCCCGAUACCACAGUUCCCAAACCAGGGUGUUCGACGGGAGGUUCUUGCAGGAAUUCGGCGCCCCAAAGACAGCCCAGCACAACCAGACCUACAUUUGUACGUUCCUCCAUAAAACCAAAUGCUUCUAAAGUGAGGGUGAUUGUCGAAGAAACCUCUUACAUCUACAUACCACGACGCCCCCGCAGUAGACAAAACACUGUUGAUGAAGGAUACCACAGUUUGAACACUUCAAGGGAGUUCGACCCAAAUAUUCGUGAACCAAGAAAUGUCAACCAUGAAAUUGAGAGUCUCAUUUCCACUGUCAUGACAAAUCUACGUGUUGGAAUCGAAACUAAAAGCGGAGAAAUGUUGAGAGAUUUCAAUGAAAAAAUGAAGCAGAAGCUCUCAGAUUUAAAAACCAAGCAUACUAAAAUCGAAGAAGACAUCAAGAGAUUGGCCGAUUCAACAUCUAUCAAUCUUGUGAAUCAAAUCUCCGACUUUGUACAGAGAACCGAGUGAAUUUUGUGUUUCUUCAUAAACACAAAAUUCGAAAGUAUUUUAGAGUAAAAUUAGUGAUUUAGAACUUCAAAAGUCAACGUUCCAAAUUUACUCCAUUUUCUAUUGAUAUUUUCAAAUACAUACAAUUCGAAUGAUUUUUCAAUUCACGAGUGAUUUUUACCUGGGCGAUUUUAUUUUCUUAAUUUUGUGUUUCUUCAUAAAGACAAAAUUCAAAAAUUGAUUUUUUUAGAACUUCUGAAUUAUUGAGUAUUUUCUCGUGAAAUUCUUGGUACCACCUCAUUGCAUGAAGCAUUAAAGUUCAAAAACAACAAUAUAUUUUUGUGUCAUUUUUCAAAUGACACAAUUCAAACAAAUUUCCAGAUCAGAUCAAGAAACAUGUCUGAAAUAAUAAAUAUAUUUUACAGUUGGAUUAAGAAUAGAAUAGAAUAUAUUUAUUUGACUACAUUACAAUACAUGUAUAAGUAAUCGAAUAGAAAACCGUGAAAACGAAAUAACAAGCUAGAGGCAAUUUGUCAAUUUCACUACGAGUGAUAGAAGUACAAACUUAAUGGAAAAUGAAAAAAAUGUUUCAGAUGAAUUUUCAUCUGAAGAAUUUCUGUACAUAGUCUACACGGGGAAAAUGUUCUAAAUAAACUGUUUAUUUAACUUAAAUCUAAUAAUAGUCAACACAUUGUUAUUAAAUAGCAAUUAAAUGGUUAACUUGUGUAAUAUUAAAAGGUUUGAAAUGAA
rnacentral:misc_RNA from 1 species